AAAUCGAUGGCCACCAGUUCAACCCCACAGGCCCGUAUUAAGCUAGGUAAAAUUAAUCAGAUUGCCUUCUCCGGAUAUUGUUCUUCCUCUCAGAUCUCAUACAUAUUACUCAAAAUCAUCACUUUCACAGACUCCUUUUCAAUUUUUCUGAAAUUUUAACUUCUUCUUCGCAGUUCAUCUUGAUUUGAACUGAUUCAUCUUCUCGGUUUCCUUUUAGUCCUUUGCAGCUGCAGUGGAUUUGGUUCUUGCAGUUAAUGAUGAAUAAUUUGCAUAAAGAUAUCGUACUAAACAUCCUUGUUAAAUUACCCGUAAAGUCGAUUGGGCGAUGCAGGUGUGUGAUUGAUCCUAGGCGGGGAUGGAGCGGUGAUGGGUCAGUAUUGCCAAUUUCUGGAGGGGCAAAUCGGAGACAGUGAUCACAUUAUAUACUACCUGUUGGAGUUAAAUGUGUUGUGCGUCCUGCUUCAUUGUUCACAUUUAACUGCAAGGUUCAGUUGAGUAGAUUUUCAGCAUCUCAGGUUAACAUAAUCUGAGAAUUCCCUGCCAUAUUUUUUUUCUGGGCAAUGUAUUUGGAUCUAGUUCGCCUGUAUUUGCAAACACACUAAUUAUGUAUAACAGCUCAUCUUAAGCUUGCUUCCUACCAAGUUUCAACCUUGAA